rnacentral:rRNA from 1 species
AUACGGAGGGUGCAAGCGUUAAUCGGAAUUACUGGGCGUAAAGAGUACGUAGGUGGUUUAUUAAGUCAGAUGUGAAAGCCCCGGGCUUAACCUGGGAACUGCAUUUGAUACUGGCAAACUAGAGUAUGGUAGAGGCGGGUAGAAUUCCUAGUGUAGCGGUGAAAUGCGUAGAUAUUAGGAGGAAUACCAGUGGCGAAGGCGGCCCGCUGGACCAAUACUGACACUGAGGUACGAAAGCGUGGGUAGCGAACAGGAUUAGAAACCCCGUAGUCC